GCGCGGUUAGUUCAGUGGUUAGAAUUUUCGCUUCCCAGACCCCUUCCUUCUGGACCAGCGAAGGACCCGGGUUCGAACCCCGGGCUGCGCA